GCAUCACCACUAGUAGCAGAGAAUUUUCAGAUACUGACGACCCCGGGAAACUUACGAGGAAGGACACCGCGUUUCCAUUGUUUAAUUUUGCUAGUGUAUCGGAAGCUACUGAAAACUUCUCCUUGGAGAAUAAGUUGGGAGAAGGGGGAUUUGGUCCUGUUUAUAUGGGAAAACUAUUAAAUGGACAAGAAGUAGCAGUGAAAAGGCUCUCCAGAUGAUCCACACAAGGGCUCGAAGAGUUAAAAAACGAGACGCUUAUAGCAAAACUUCAACAUCGAAACCUUGUUAGGCUAUUAGGUUGCUGUUUAGAACAAGGAGAAAAGAUACUGAUCUAUGAGUUCAUGCCUAACAAAAGCUUGGAUUCAUUUCUUUUUGGUUCAAACAAUCAAGGACUACUAGACUGGGGAACAAGAGUUCGAGUAAUUGAGGGGAUCGCACAAGGGCUUCUAUAUCUUCGCCAAUAUUCGAGACUACGGAUUAUA